rnacentral:tRNA from 1 species
GGGCACUUAGCUCAGCUGGUUAGAGCGCAGCCUUCACACGGCUGAGGUCGGGGGUUCGAGUCCCUUAGUGCCCACCA